rnacentral:rRNA from 1 species
GAUGAACGCUGGCGGCGUGCUUAACACAUGCAAGUCGAACGGAAAGGCUCCUGCUUGCAGGGGUACUCGAGUGGCGAACGGGUGAGUAACACGUGGGUGAUCUGCCCUGCACUUCGGGAUAAGCCUGGGAAACUGGGUCUAAUACCGGAUAGGACCACAUUUUGGAUGGUGUGGUGGAAAGUUUUUCGGUGUGGGAUGAGCUCGCGGCCUAUCAGCUUGUUGGUGGGGUAAUGGCCUACCAAGGCGUCGACGGGUAGCCGGCCUGAGAGGGUGUACGGCCACAUUGGGACUGAGAUACGGCCCAGACUCCUACGGGAGGCAGCAAUGGGGAAUAUUGCACAAUGGGCGCAAGCCUGAUGCAGCGACGCCGCGUGGGGGAUGACGGCCUUCGGGUUGUAAACUCCUGUCGCUAGGGACGAAGCGUUUUUGUGACGGCACCUGGAGAAGAAGCACCGGCUAACUACGUG